rnacentral:lncRNA from 1 species
GGAAUUCAACAGGAAUUGGCGGCAUUCUUUCUUGACCACGUGAUCGCUAAAGACGGAGAAUACUAUGUGGACCCUGCAAGGUUCAAUUUUAAUUAGGAGAUUAUAUUGUAAAAGAUACUUAUAUUGUAUAUAUGUAGCCAGUAGCGUCGGAUAGAUAUACGAGAACUUGUUGUUCGACCAAUCUCUCAGAGAAGGAGAGGUGGUCGAUAUCACUUCUCUUUGUAUGCAUCUGUUCAUGACGAUCUUCUGUUUCCUUC